CACUUCCUGUCCCAUAGCCCACUGCUGGAAACGGUUAACUAGCUUUAAAAAUUGCCAAAGAACUUCUCAUAACGUGUUAACAGCACAGUACUAAUUUACAGCAAAAAGGAAACAGUCUUAGAGCUCAGUAUUAAAUCAACAAAUUCUGAAUUUAUAUCAAUAAAUCAAACAUUAAAUAUUCUAAAAGCCUUCUUUGCUAAGUUAUCAGUAAUCCACUUACCCAAGGAGGUCAAAGAAGCCAAAG